UUGUUGAAGUGAAAGGGACACUAUGGGAAACGGUGACUUGAUCAGCAUAGCCCUGACUGUUAAUGAACAACUUAAUACAUUAUCCCUCUUAGUAGUUUUUUUGUCUGUUCUACUUAAUAUGACUGAUUUAAUUCUAUAAUUAAUACACAGUUAUUCUUAAGUGUUGAAAUUUAACUGAAUUGUGAUCCCUUUCCAAAGACUUUGUAUGGAAGGAACUGGGUCUACGGUGGAGAAACCUAACACCGUCUCAGCGGGGAUCAGGCGAACACGCAGGUGCCCUGGCUCCUGUGGAUGGCCAGAGAGAGGCUUCACACCAGCUCCCAACCCAGGCUCCACAGAGGAUGCAGUUGAUUGGCUGAGGCUGCAAGGAAGCUGGGAAGGUGAGUAUUCGGCUUUUAUGGCUUCUACAGUGGAACAUGAUGGUCUCUGUGUCCCACCAAGAUCACAAAUAGGUUCACUAAUUUGGCAGCUGUAUAAGGAAAGUCGCAGUUCCACUCCACUGUGUCAGGUAGAUUUUCCCUAGCCUCCUGAGCUGCUGUGCUAGACUUCCCAGAUAGCCUUGUGUGUGUGUGUGUUUUUUUUUUCUUAAGUGAGGAUUUAAUUGACUUUUUACCAUGUUAGGUGUUUUUUUGUUUUGUUUGUUUGUUUGUUUGUUUUUGUUUUUUGACAGGCAGAGUGGACAGUGAGAGAGAGAGAGAGAAAGGUCUUCCUUUACUGUUGGUUCACCCUCCAGUGGCUGGCGCGCUGCGGCUGGAGCACUGCGCUGAUCCGAUGGCAGGAGCCAGGUACUUCUCCUGGUCUCCCAUGGGGUACAGGGCCCAAGCACUUGGCCCAUCCUCCACUGCACUCCCUGGCCAUAGCAGAGAGCUGGCCUGGAAGAGGGGCAACCGGGACAGAAUCCGGCGCCCCGACCAGGACUAGAACCCAGUGUGCUGGCGCCGCAAGAUGGAGGAUUAGCCUAGUGAGCUGCGGCGCCAGCCACCCAGAUAGCCUUGUAAUGCAGUGUUUGUUUAUGCAGAUAAAA
rnacentral:lncRNA from 1 species